rnacentral:rRNA from 1 species
AUUGAACGCUGGCGGCAGGCCUAACACAUGCAAGUCGAGCGAGCGGCGGGCGGGUGAGUAAUGUAUCGGGGAAUGCCCGUUAGAGAGGGAGAACAACUCGAAACGGUAGAUCAUACCGCAUACUCUAGGAGGUACCCCUAUGGGAGUAGCUAGUAGGUGGGGUAAAGGCUCACCUAGGCGACGAUCCCUAGCUGGUAUGAGAGGAGGAUCAGCCACACUGGAACUGAGACACGGCCCAGACUCCUACGGGAGGCAGCAGUGGGGAAUAUUGCACAAUGGGCGCAAGCCUGAUGCAGCCAUGCCGCGUGUAUGAAGAAGGCCCUAGGGUUGUAAAGUACUUUCAGUGGGGAGGCGUUACCGGCAGAAGAAGCACCGGCUAACUCCGUGCCAGCAGCCGCGGUAAUUC